rnacentral:rRNA from 1 species
UUGAUGGAGAGUUUGAUUCUGGCUCAGAAUGAACGCUGGCGGCGUGCUUAACACAUGCAAGUCGAACGGAAUCCAAGGAGCUUGCUCCGAAAGAUUUAGUGGCGAACGGGUGAGUAUCACGUGAGCAACCUGCCCCGAAGACUGGGAUAACACCGGGAAACCGGUGCUAAUACCGGAUGUCCUCUUUUUAUCGCAUGAUGAGAAGAGGAAAUGUUUUUUCGCUUCGGGAGGGGCUCGCGGUCCAUCAGCUUGUUGGCGGGGUAACGGCCCACCAAGGCUACGACGGAUAGCUGGUCUGAGAGGACGAUCAGCCACACUGGAACUGAGACACGGUCCAGACUCCUACGGGAGGCAGCAGUGGGGAAUCUU